rnacentral:rRNA from 1 species
AUUGAACGCUGGCGGCAGGCCUAACACCUGCAAGUCGAGCGAGCGGCGGACGGGUGAGUAAUGUUUGGGGACUGCCCGCUAGAGGGGGAUAACUACUGGAAACGGUGGUUAAUACCGCCUACUGUCGGAUAACCCAUAAGGGAUUAGCUAGUGGGUAAGGUAAUGGCUUACCUAGGCGACGAUCCCUAGCUGGUCUGAGAGGAUGAUCAGCCAAACUGGGACUGAGACACGGCCCAGACUCCUACGGAGGCAGCAGUGGGGAAUAUGGCACAAUGGGCGCAAGCCUGAUGCAGCCAUGCCGCGUGUAUGAAGAAGGCCUUCGGGUUGUAAAGUACUUUCAGUCGGGAGGCGUUACCGACAGAAGAAGCACCGGCUAACUCCGUGCCAGCAGCCGCGGUAAUAC